UGGGGAAUAUUGGACAAUGGGCGAAAGCCUGAUCCAGCCAUGCCGCGUGUGUGAAGAAGGUCUUCGGAUUGUAAAGCACUUUAAGUUGGGAGGAAGGGCAUUAACCUAAUACGUUAGUGUUUUGACGUUACCGACAGAAGAAGCACCGGCUAACUCUGUGCCAGCAGCCGCGGUAAUACAGAGCGUGCAAGCGUUAAUCGGAAUUACUGGGCGUAAAGCGCGCGUAGGUGGUUUGUUAAGUUGGAUGUGAAAUCCCCGGGCUCAACCUGGGAACUGCAUUCAAAACUGACUGACUAGAGUAUGGUAGAGGGUGGUGGAAUUUCCUGUGUAGCGGUGAAAUGCGUAGAUAUAGGAAGGAACACCAGUGGCGAAGGCGACCACCUGGACUAAUACUGACACUGAGGUGCGAAAGCGUGGGGAGCAAACA
rnacentral:rRNA from 1 species